GGACUGGAGCACGAGAAGUUUGUGCUGCUCUCCGUUUCUCUGUGGGCGAUUUGGUCAGCUAGGAGGAAAGCUAUACACGAAGGGGUUUUUCAGAGUCCACAAUCUACCAAAGCUUUCAUCAGCAGGUUUAUGGACGAUCUGGAGAUAGUCUCAGCCCAACAGAAAUUAGCACCGAAUCGUGCCCAUGCACCGGUUACAGCCAGGGCUCCACCUCCGGGGUUUGCAAAGAUUCACGUUAAUGCUGCUGUGAGGCAUGAGCGAGGAGGAGCUGCAGCAGCCGUAUGCAGAGAUGAUGGAGGAACCUACUUGGGAAGUUCGGCGCUCGUUAUUCAUGGCGUGAGCAAUCCAACAAUACUGGAGGCAGUGGCAUGUAGGGAGGCGCUAGCCCUGGCGGAGGACAUGAACCUGACAAAUUGUUUGAUUUCCAGCGAUUGCAAGCAAGUGGUGUCCGAUAUCAUGUCCGGAACACUAGGGGAGCAUGGAGCGGUCAUUGCUAAGAUUAGGGCGAAAGCCGCGUUGCAUUUUCAAAUUUAUUUUCGAGGUCGUGCUGUUAAUUAUGAAGCACAUAGUUUAGCUCGUUUUUCUCUUUCUCAGGGUCUAGGUCGCCACGUCUGGUUUGGCACCUCUCAUGACCCGCAUUGUAUCCCACAUCAUGUGGAUUUCGGUGAUGAAUAA
rnacentral:rRNA from 1 species